AAUUGGGAUAAGUCUCAAUUUCCGUUUAUAAGUAGGUACAAGGUUUAUAGCGGGCCAACCCAAACAAUUCCUAGCUACGCCCCUGAUCAUUGCCCCAAAAAAAAACAAAUACCUAUCAUAACAAUGCAAAAUUAUUAGUUUAACAAUAUAGUAUAUUGUGUGGGUAGAAUCCGUAGAAAUUGCACAGUCUUCGAUAUCGAAAAAGAUAAGUCGAUAGAUAGGUCGGUAAUUUAAGUUUGAGUAAACCCUGCCUAACUAUUAUAUAAUUAAACUCCUAAAAGUAAAAUUAAUUACUUCCAUGAAUCCGGAUACUUGUGAGUGUUCAUUGUCGAUUACCGUGCAGAACAUUAAACAUAUUGGCUUCGAAAUUCCACGUUCAUCUAGAUAAGUUUACGCCGAUUCGUCUAUUAUUCAUAAUACAUAGAACAAAAAGUAAUUUCAAAUAGUUAAUUCGUUCAAAAUAUACGUAUUAAAAUGCGUAUUUGCAAAACCCGACUAUGUUACAAAUUAUAUUAGAUUUAUAGAUUAUUAUCAUUGUAAAAAAUACAUUUUACAUGUAUGUAGUAUGGUUCAUAACUUAAUAUAGUGUGUUUGUUAUGAGAUUAAAUUAUCAACAAUUCAGUUUGGUUGGUUAUAAAAAAUAACUCGUAGUAUGCACCAAAUAUCAAGUAAGUACCUUUACUCUGACGUUAUUUUUUUCUUUUUUACGUAAUUCUUAGUGUAAUAAAUAAAUAAUCAUUGGUUAAAAAAAUGUUUUCGUUUAUCCCCUGAAUAUAAUAUCUUUCUGUGUUUACAUUAUUUCCCGUUUGCUUAGGGGAAUAAUUUAAAAUGUGUACAUUGCGCGUAGGUUUAACAAACAUUAAAAUAUAUUCAAUGUAAUGUUGUGUAAUGUGUUGACAAUGAUUAACGCUAAAAUAUCCGGUUUAAUGAAUUUACCGGUAAAUCUCUUCACACAAAACUGAAAAUAAAUAUUGCGCGAAAAUACGUAAUCUAAAACAUCACGCGAAAAACCUAAUAAAUGCUCCUUGAGAUUACGUCAACGCCACUCCCUAUUGAUGG